rnacentral:rRNA from 1 species
AGGCUUUGAUCCUGGCUCAGGAUGAACGCUGGCGGCGUGCUUAACACAUGCAAGUCGAACGAACCUUCGGGUUAGUGGCGGACGGGUGAGUAACGCGUGAGAAUCUGCCCUCAGGAGGGGGAUAACGGCCGGAAACGGCCGCUAAUACCCCAUAUGCCGAGAGGUGAAACGAAUUUCGCCUGAGGAUGAGCUCGCGUCUGAUUAGCUAGUUGGUGGGGUAAAGGCCUACCAAGGCGACGAUCAGUAGCUGGUCUGAGAGGAUGAUCAGCCACACUGGGACUGAGACACGGCCCAGACUCUACGGGAGGCAGCAGUGGGGAAUUUUCCGCAAUGGGCGAAAGCCUGACGGAGCAACGCCGCGUGAGGGAUGAAGGCCUCUGGGCUGUAAACCUCUUUUCUACAAGGAAGAAGAUCUGACGGUACGUGAGGAAUAAGCCACGGGUAUAU